rnacentral:pre_miRNA from 1 species
CAUAUACUCCCUCCGUUCGGAAUUACUUGUCGUGAAAAUGGAUGUAUUUAGACGUAUUUUAGUUCUAGAUACAUCCAUUUCCGAGACAAGUAAUUCCGAACGGAGGGAGUAUCUG